CAGGGCCAACCAAUUCCUCACUCCACCAUCACAUCUCUUUUAUCACCACUGCUGAGUGUGAAAGUUCACCCAGCCUGAAGCUGAAGGACCCUGUGCUGCUGUGACAUUGGACAAGGUGUUCCCCCUGAGACAGGGUCCAGGGUCCCAAUCAUCAGAACCAGCCCGUCUGCUCUUGUCCGCCCGCGUGUGAGAAGGCUGUGAAAAAUACCUGUGAGAAGGACCGAGAGGAAGAGAGUUUAUUUUGGCUGCACGAGGCUCAGCUCAUGGUGGGCUGGCUUCAUCGCUUAGCACCGAGGUGAGGCAGCAGGUC
rnacentral:lncRNA from 1 species